rnacentral:rRNA from 1 species
GUCCUUUUGAUAAUAAUUUAAGGUCUAAUCUGCUCAAUGAAGGGUUAAAUAGCCGCAGUAUUUUGACUGUGCGAAGGUAGCAUAAUAAUUAGUCUUUUUAUUGAGGACUUGUACGAAUGAUUGAACAAGAAAAUUUCUGUCUCUUUUUAAUUUUUUUUUGAAUUUAAUUUUUGAGUUAAAAUGCUCAAAUGUUUAUAAAAGACGAGAAGACCCCAUAGAGUUUUAUUUUUAUAUGUUUUUAGUAUAAUUAUUAAAAUUAAAAAAUUAGUUGGGGUGAACUAGAAGAUUAAAUAAACUCUUUAAAUUAAAAUCAUUGAUUUAUGAAUAUAAAUUCUAAUUUUUUUUAAGUUUAAAUUAAAUUACCUUGGGGAUAACAGCGUAAUUUCUUUUUAGAGUUCUUAUCAAAUAAGAAGAUUGCGACCUCGAUGUUGGAUUAAAAUUUAUUUUGGGUGUAGAAGCUUAAAAAUUAAGUCUGUUCGACUUUUAAAAUUUU